UACGGGGGGGGGCAAGCGUUUGUUCGGAAUUACUGGGCGUAAAGGGCGCGUAGGCGGUUGGAUAAGUCAGCUGUGAAAACCACGGGCUUAACUCGUGGCCUGCAGUUGAGACUGUCUGGCUUGAGUGUGGGAGAGGAGAGUGGAAUUCCUGGUGUAGCGGUGAAAUGCGUAGAUAUCAGGAGGAACACCGGUGGCGAAGGCGGCUCUCUGGACCACAACUGACGCUGAGGCGCGAAAAGCUAGGGGAGCAAACAGG
rnacentral:rRNA from 1 species